AGUCACUGACAUUAGAUACCCGCGUAGUCCUGGCCGUAAACGAUGUGGACUUGGUGUUGGGAUGGCUCCGAGCUGCCCCAGUGCCGAAGGGAAGCUGUUAAGUCCACCGCCUGGGAAGUACGGUCGCAAGACUGAACUUAAAGGAAUUGGCGGGGAGCACCACAACGGCGUGGAGCCUGCGGUUUAAUUGGAUUCUAACGCCGGACAUCUCACCAGGGCGACAGCAGAAUGAUGGCCAGGCUGAUGACCUUGCUUGACAAGCUG
rnacentral:rRNA from 1 species